GCUGCUGGUGCCAGCUGGGAGAAUGGCUACGCGUACAACUGUGAGCUCCACGUCUCGACCGUGUGUGGCUCGCCGGUCCCACAUGUCUGUCUCCUGCGUUGUAGGAUUAAUUGGAGGAGAAAAUGGUUUUUGGUUACUACCUAUUUUUAUUUUUAUUCGAUUUUUUUUGUGGCGUGAGACAAAUCGUCUAUUCUUUUUUUCCAGAUUUGUUCAACAGCUGGUGUCUUGCUGUUCAACAGAGCAUGUCUUCCGUUCGAUAAUAAUUAAAAUAAAAAGGGUUUGUCAUAAUGUUUUUUUUUCCUUUUAAAAGGGCAUUUUAGAUGAUCUGAUCCUUGUGACCUGGCCGGUGCAUUAUCCUAUCCUUGGAAUUCCUGAGACGCAUUGUUGUGUGAUCUGCUGGACAGGAUGUCAGGUUGGCCAUGGUCGGAGCCAAUUUCUGCAGUUCUGUAGGGGAUAGAACCCACAAAUCCAUUUAUGUAAUGUUAUUUCGUUUCGUUCCAUGUUAUAAGAUUCGCUGGUAUUGUUUAGAUUUGUACAUGUGCUGAUAAAUCUAGAUAUAUAUACAAAACAUAUACACUAAUACAUUAUUGACUCUAGAUAAACUAACAAAGUACAGAUGGUCUGUGAGAGAAGUAUAGGAACAACAUUCCUGUAGAAACACUAUACAUCCAUUUGGUUUAUAAGAUCCAACGCAGUUAGUCAGACCUCCCCAUUAGAAAGUGCAUGUAAUUAUGGCCAUCCAUUUUUGCCAAGAUCUGAUUCUACUAUGACUGCUAAAGUUUAUUUAAUGUGUGAACAUUAGUGUGUAAAAUCUGGGCACUUAAGGCCCUGUUUAGUUUAAAAAGAUUUUUCCAAAAACAUCGUAUCGAAUCUUUAGACAUAUAAAUAGAGCAUUAAAUAUAGAUAAAACAAAAAAACUAAUUGCACAGUUAUAAAAGAAAUCGUGAGACGAAUCUUUUGAACAUAAUUAGUCCAUGAUUAGCCAUAAAUAUUAUAGUAACUCAUAUGUACUAAUGACGACUUAAUUAGGCUUAAAAGAUUCGUCUCACAGUUUCCAGAGAGCUGUGAAAUUCUUUUUUUAUUCGUGUCUGAAAAACCCCUCCAACACCCGAUCAAAUAUCUGAUAUUACUCUUCUUCUAAAUAUUUUUGUCAUCUAAACGGGGCCUUAUAUUUGCAUUGAACAGUUUUAGUGUGACUUAUAUUGCAGUCACACUAUGACUUACGAUGUAUCCAAAUCCGUUUUCCAUGUUCGUAUGAAUUUUUGGAAAUCACAUGAAACGAACAGGCACUAAAAUCUUCACAUGUGGGAAGCUGAAAAUCACCAAAACUUCAACACGCGUGGUACGACGAAACGGGCCAUGGCGAGGCCAUAUGGGCAUCCCUUUCCGGCAGAUCCCACGAGAUCGUGGGCGCCGCUGCCGGCCGAUCGGAGAUCCCCCACCCACCCAAUCUCCGCCGGUGGGCGCCACCCCCN
rnacentral:lncRNA from 1 species